rnacentral:rRNA from 1 species
UACGGGGGGGGCAAGCGUUGUUCGGAAUUACUGGGCGUAAAGAGCGUGUAGGCGGCCAGAUAGGUCUGCUGUGAAAACUCGAGGCUCAACCUCGAGAUGUCGGCGGAAACCAUUUGGCUAGAGUCCGGAAGAGGAAAGUGGAAUUCCUGGUGUAGCGGUGAAAUGCGCAGAUAUCAGGAAGAACACCCGUGGCGAAGGCGGCUUUCUGGGACGGUACUGACGCUGAGACGCGGAAGCGUGGGGAGCGAACAGG